GCAUGAAGCAUGUUCUAUCGGUUACCACUUUCCUGGCUCAUAUACACAAUCCAGUGGAUGUUGGCCUUUGAGCGUUUGCUGAUUGAUGGCACCAAAGAGGGGCAUCAGCCCUUUUUCUCGCGUCCAUGAUUUUACGGCAAAGCAGGAGAUGGGAAUUGGGGUUGAUGGGUGAGGGCAAUAAGUUCAUGGUUCAGAGCGAAGAGUCAAGGGAUUAAGGAGGAAGGAGAAAUAAGGAAGAGACGAGAGGAUUCGUCGAAGGCGAAGAAAUUAGGAACACACCAAGCA
rnacentral:sRNA from 1 species